rnacentral:rRNA from 1 species
CGCUAGCGUAUACUAACGUUGUUGCAGUUAAAAAAGCUCGUAGUUGGAUUUCUGUGGUGGGUAGCCGGCCGGCUCUUCGGAGUUGUAGCUAGGUUUACUUGCCGCAUCUUGCCGUAAUUCUCACUGGUCUUAAUUGAUUGGUGUAGAGGACCGGCUCGUUUACUUUGAGAAAAUUAGAGUGUUCAAAGCGGGCUAUCGCCUUGAAUAUGUUAGCAUGGAAUAAUGAUAUAGGACUUUGGUUCUAUUUUGUUGGUUGUUCGAGGACCGAAGUAAUGAUUGAUAGGGACAGUUGGGGGUAUCAGUAUUCUGAAGCGAGAGGUGAAAUUCUUGGACCUUCGGAAGACGAACCGCUGCGAAAGCGUUUGCCUAGGACGUUCUCUUUAAUCAAGAACGAAAGUUGGGGAUCGAAGACGAUCAGAUACC